ACGAACGCUGGCGGCACGCUUAACACAUGCAAGUCGAACGAGAGAAGAGGAGCUUGCUUUUCUGAUCUAGUGGCGGACGGGUGAGUAACACGUGAGCAAUCUGCCUUUCAGAGGGGGAUACCGAUUGGAAACGAUCGUUAAUACCGCAUAACAUAAUUGAACCGCAUGAUUUGAUUAUCAAAGAUUUAUCGCUGAAAGAUGAGCUCGCGUCUGAUUAGCUAGUUGGUAAGGUAACGGCUUACCAAGGCGACGAUCAGUAGCCGGACUGAGAGGUUGAUCGGCCACAUUGGGACUGAGACACGGCCCAGACUCCUACGGGAGGCAGCAGUGGGGAAUAUUGCACAAUGGAGGAAACUCUGAUGCAGCGAUGCCGCGUGAGGGAAGAAGGUUUUAGGAUUGUAAACCUCUGUCUUCAGGGACGAAAAAAGACGGUACCUGAGGAGGAAGCUCCGGCUAACUACGUGCCAGCAGCCGCGGUAAUACGUAGGGAGCGAGCGUUGUCCGGAAUUACUGGGUGUAAAGGGAGCGUAGGCGGGAUCGCAAGUCAGAUGUGAAAACUAUGGGCUUAACCCAUAAACUGCAUUUGAAACUGUGGUUCUUGAGUGAAGUAGAGGUAAGCGGAAUUCCUAGUGUAGCGGUGAAAUGCGUAGAUAUUAGGAGGAACACCAGUGGCGAAGGCGACUUACUGGACUGCUACUGACACUGAGGCACGAAAGCGUGGGGAGCAAACAGGAUUAGAUACCCUGGUAGUCCACGCCGUAAACGAUGAUUACUAGGUGUGGGGGGACUGACCCCUUCCGUGCCGCAGCAAACGCAAUAAGUAAUCCACCUGGGGAGUACGACCGCAAGGUUGAAACUCAAAGGAAUUGACGGGGGCCCGCACAAGCAGUGGAGUAUGUGGAUUAAUUCGAAGCAACGCGAAGAACCUUACCAGGUCUUGACAUCGUAUGCAUAGCUCAGAGAUGAGUGAAAUCUCUUCGGAGACAUAUAGACAGGUGGUGCAUGGUUGUCGUCAGCUCGUGUCGUGAGAUGUUGGGUUAAGUCCCGCAACGAGCGCAACCCUUACUGUUAGUUGCUACGCAAGAGCACUCUAGCAGGACUGCCGUUGACAAAACGGAGGAAGGUGGGGAUGACGUCAAAUCAUCAUGCCCCUUAUGACCUGGGCCUCACACGUACUACAAUGGCUGUCAACAGAGGGAAGCAAAGCCGCGAGGUGGAGCGAACCCCUAAAAGCAGUCUUAGUUCGGAUUGUAGGCUGCAACCCGCCUACAUGAAGUCGGAAUUGCUAGUAAUCGCAGAUCAGCAUGCUGCGGUGAAUACGUUCCCGGGCCUUGUACACACCGCCCGUCACGCCAUGGGAGUCGGUAACACCCGAAGCCUGUAGUCUAACCGCAAGGAGGACGCAGUCGAAGGUGGGAUUGAUGACUGGGGUG
rnacentral:rRNA from 1 species